rnacentral:lncRNA from 1 species
UUCCAGAACAACAGCCAUUGGCUUGUUGGUAUUAAGCAAAGAAGAGAUAGAUUACAAACAUAUAUCAAUCUCUACUAUAUAUGAUCAAUGUUAAAUAAUACAGAUAAACAAGAGUGAGAAGUACUUCUAAUUAAUGGACGACAUACACUUGAUUUGUACAAAAUGACUGGAGUGAGUCUGCAGUGAGAGCAUUAGUCAACCAUUGUGUAAGAGCACAAUAUAAGAGUAUCACGAGAACACCAGUUGGCCAGAGCAUACAGAUGAUAAAGUGGCUGUAGUGGAAACUUUCCCUGUAUUGACAGGAAAAACUCAAUGAAUCAUAGCACAAUCAGAAAGCACAUUCAUGUGCCUUUUAACAUAAAUAAAUAUUCCUAAGAUUUCAACAAAAAUAGAAGAACAUGGUGAUAUAGGAGGAAUUUUAGCCUUUCCUUGUUAAUUCACCCAGACUACAAUGCAUAAUGAGACCAAACACAAUGCUUUCUCUACAAAGGUGGAUACAAAAUUCCUCUGGGUGUGCUCUUUCUUUUUCAGAAACGAUAUCCUCUUUGGAUACGGAGAAAUAGAAUGCUUAAUCAAACUGCAGAAAAUAUUUGCUAGUUUCUAGUUAUUUCAUUGACUGACAACCACAUCACAAUUUAAAAGAUCACACUUGAACCACAAUAUCUAUAGAUAUUAGUAAAUAAAAACUAACCGAAAACUGGAAUCGUUUGCGUAGGCAUUGACGAACAAUUAUUUUUCUCUCGUCGGCGUCUAUAGCUCGAGUAGCUUAGGGGAGUCUGUGACUGAUAUGAAGUAGAUGGUGUAGAUGAAUAUUUUGCAAAGUUGAAAAUUUAUAUAAAAAAUAUGGGAAAGAUGAAAUUACGGAAGACAGAUUUGCAGCUUUCCGAAUCUAUUGACUCCAAAUUACUUACCCCAAGCAUUGAUUNNNNNNNNNNNNNNNNNNNNNNNNNNNNNNNNNNNNNNNNNNNNNNNNNNNNGGGAAGAUGAAUUACGGAAGACAGAUUUGCAGCUUUCCGAAUCUAUUGACUCCCAAAAUUACUUACCCCCAAGCAUUGAUUCAUGAAUCUGUAAGAGAUGUUGAUGAACGAUACAACCACAGAUGAAGCAGCAGGAUAGGAGCUCUAACGACGGAUCAAUCACUGAAACUGAUGAGAUCGAUAGGGUUUACAAUGGCGUCAACUGUUACAACUUUAUCUUCGUCAUCGAAAAAAUUACAGAAAUUAACAUAUUAUAUAGGAAGGAUGAAAUCGACAGAUUAGCCUCUCCAAAUCUAUCACUCCCAAUUACUUACCUUGAUUCAUAUAUGGAUCUGUAGUUGUGGGGAAGAGACGAUUGCAGCCAGGGAUGAAGCACCUUCCAAAUUUGGGCUAUCGAAUGAAAUAGAGAGAGAGAUAGACAGAAGCACCUUCCAAUUUGUGGGCAAGAGGCGUUUGCAGCCAUGGAUGAAGCACCUGCUUUGAAAAGUUAUCUGCCCUUUCUGCUGAUUGGAUGAAUUGUGGAGAAGAUUUUUUGAGAAGAUGGAGUAUAAUUUUGAGUGAGUAACGCUGAGUGAAUUCAAAUAAUAGCAAAUUUGGGAGAAAUAUUUUGGAGAAGAUGAUGGGCUCUUUGAAAUCUCUUAAUUAAUGAUUAAAGAGAUUAGGAGAUUAAUGAUCCCCUUGUGAUGUGGUGAUUGCCUUAUAUAAACAAAUGAAACGCCUUUUUUUAUGAUUAGGGAGAGGGGGUAAGAAAUAGAGAAAUUAAGAAACGCCUUUGGCUUAGAAGAAUUCAAAGAGGAAGAAAUAGAGGUUUUUGAGAGCGCCACGUAGG